GUUGCGGCGGCGCGGGGGUGGCGGGAGCGUUGAUCCUAAUUGGAGCCGACGCGCGGCUCCUCCAUAAUUCUCCGACAUCCCCCCGCCGGCUCAUAAUGCCUGGGCGGGCGCUGCCGCCGGCCCCGCGGGGGAGCCGCCGCAGCAGCCAGGCAGGUAUUGCAUUCUUUGGAGGAUCUCUGAGCACUUCAGAAGGACCAAUGAAUUAUGCCUCACAGGACCCCAUAAGGUGUGACCUGAGCCACCCAAAAGAAUAUUCUGUUGGAAAGAAGCUGAGGCCAAAAUCGGGACAAAGGAAGAAACCAUGCAGUAUAAAAUCAAGAAACUGCUUUGAAAGAAAUAAACAAGUUGCAAAUUCAGAAAUGAAAUCUGAAUGUGCCCAAAGAGAUGGGGGGAGAACUUCGUGGAUGUGAAGAUCUCAUAAGUGUGGUGUGUUGAGUUGCAGAGAACCUCAUAGUUUUGAAAUGUAAACACACCAUAUGUAAAACACAAACCACAGAAUUAAUGAAUCAUGUUAAUUUCACACUGCCCCCGCUUUGGACUAAUUAGUGCAAAUUAAAUGCCGCUCUUGUCAAGCAGAGCGGUUUGUGCACCAUGUAUUGCAUUAAGAAUUAUCUUUGGAUCCAUUUGCACAAUGUGAAAAUAGUGUGAAAAUAUUUUUAUUUCAAUUAGUGGUAGUUUUACAGUCAUUAAAAGAUUUCUUUAAUAGGCUUAGACUCCCAUGGCCUGCACAGCUGCAUGAGUUCUGGUUUGCAUUUAAAGGUGGGAAAAGAUGUAGGGGGAAGGAAGACAUUUAGCUGACUGGAUUUACUUAAUUAGCCCCCACCCCAUUCUAAAAUGCCAAACCAGGCUGAUCAAUUAUCUGUCCUUUCAUCAGGGGCCAAUUGCUUAAUUGCAAAUUAUCCCUAAUAAUUACACAGUCAAAUAACUACCGGAUUUAUUUUUAAUGAAUAUGGGAGCCCUUAACAAGGAUUUAAAUGUACCCACCAGGAUUACUCAAAAUCGACAGCUAUCAAAGGGCCAGAAUCUGCCACUCUUGCUUACAUGGAAGAGAACCUCAUUCUGCUGUUUUCUGUUCAGUUUCAGUGAGACUCGGGGAAGUAGAGAUGCUGCAUUUCCGUGCUCAGUAGUGCUUUUAGGGUCUAACAUUUCCUUUGUUUCAGUGAGAUGGACUGAAA